CCGGUUGAUCCUGCCGGAGGUCAUUGCUAUUGGAGUCCGAUUUAGCCAUGCUAGUCGCGCGGGUUCAGACCCGCGGCAUAUAGCUCAGUAACACGUGGCCAAACUACCCUAUGGACAGGGACAACCUCGGGAAACUGAGGCUAAUCCCUGAUACAGCUCCCAUGCUGGAGUGCAGAGAGCUGGAAACGCUCCGGCGCCAUAGGAUGUGGCUGCGGCCGAUUAGGUAGAUGGUGGGGUAACGGCCCACCAUGCCAAUAAUCGGUACAGGUUGUGAGAGCAAGAGCCUGGAGACGGUAUCUGAGACAAGAUACCGGGCCCUACGGGGCGCAGCAGGCGCGAAACCUUUACACUGCACGACAGUGCGAUAAGGGGACUCCGAGUGCGAGAGCAUAUAGCCCUCGCUUUUCUGUACCGUAGGGAGGUACAGGAACAAGUGCUGGGCAAGACCGGUGCCAGCCGCCGCGGUAAUACCGGCAGCACGAGUGAUGACCGAUAUUAUUGGGCCUAAAGCGUCCGUAGCCGGCCAAACAAGUCCGUUGGGAAAUCCACGCGCUCAACGCGUGGGCGUCCGGCGGAAACUGUUUGGCUUGGGGCCGGAAGACCUGAGGGGUACGUCCGGGGUAGGAGUGAAAUCCUGUAAUCCUGGACGGACCACCGUUGGCGAAAGCGCCUCAGGAAGACGGACCCGACGGUGAGGGACGAAAGCUAGGGUCUCGAACCGGAUUAGAUACCCGGGUAGUCCUAGCUGUAAACGAUGCUCGCUAGGUGUGCCACAAGGCUACGAGCCUGUGCUGCGCCCUAGGGAAGCCGAAGAAGCGGAGCCGCCUGGGAAGUACGUCUGCAAGGAUGAAACUUAAAGGAAUUGGCGGGGGAGCAC
rnacentral:rRNA from 1 species